GGAGCUCAGUUGGUAGAGCAUGAGACUCUUAAUCUCAAGGCCAUGGGUUUGAGCCCCACAUUGAGCG
rnacentral:tRNA from 1 species